rnacentral:rRNA from 1 species
GGGUUGUGAGGUUAAGCGACUAAGCGUACACGGUGGAUGCCCUGGCAGUCAGAGGCGAUGAAGGACGUGCUAAUCUGCGAUAAGCGUCGGUAAGGUGAUAUGAACCGUUAUAACCGGCGAUUUCCGAAUGGGGAAACCCAGUGUGUUUCGACACACUAUCAUUAACUGAAUCCAUAGGUUAAUGAGGCGAACCGGGGGAACUGAAACAUCUAAGUACCCCGAGGAAAAGAAAUCAACCGAGAUUCCCCCAGUAGCGGCGAGCGAACGGGGAGCAGCCCAGAGCCUGAAUCAGUGUGUGUGUUAGUGGAAGCGUCUGGAAAGGCGCGCGAUACAGGGUGACAGCCCCGUACACAAAAAUGCACAUGCUGUGAGCUCGAUGAGUAGGGCGGGACACGUGGUAUCCUGUCUGAAUAUGGGGGGACCAUCCUCCAAGGCUAAAUACUCCUGACUGACCGAUAGUGAACCAGUACCGUGAGGGAAAGGCGAAAAGAACCCCGGCGAGGGGAGUGAAAAAGAACCUGAAACCGUGUACGUACAAGCAGUGGGAGCACGCUUAGGCGUGUGACUGCGUACCUUUUGUAUAAUGGGUCAGCGACUUAUAUUCUGUAGCAAGGUUAACCGAAUAGGGGAGCCGAAGGGAAACCGAGUCUUAACUGGGCGUUAAGUUGCAGGGUAUAGACCCGAAACCCGGUGAUCUAGCCAUGGGCAGGUUGAAGGUUGGGUAACACUAACUGGAGGACCGAACCGACUAAUGUUGAAAAAUUAGCGGAUGACUUGUGGCUGGGGGUGAAAGGCCAAUCAAACCGGGAGAUAGCUGGUUCUCCCCGAAAGCUAUUUAGGUAGCGCCUCGUGAAUUCAUCUCCGGGGGUAGAGCACUGUUUCGGCAAGGGGGUCAUCCCGACUUACCAACCCGAUGCAAACUGCGAAUACCGGAGAAUGUUAUCACGGGAGACACACGGCGGGUGCUAACGUCCGUCGUGAAGAGGGAAACAACCCAGACCGCCAGCUAAGGUCCCAAAGUCAUGGUUAAGUGGGAAACGAUGUGGGAAGGCCCAGACAGCCAGGAUGUUGGCUUAGAAGCAGCCAUCAUUUAAAGAAAGCGUAAUAGCUCACUGGUCGAGUCGGCCUGCGCGGAAGAUGUAACGGGGCUAAACCAUGCACCGAAGCUGCGGCAGCGACGCUGAUGCGUUGUUGGGUAGGGGAGCGUUCUGUAAGCCUGCGAAGGUGUGCUGUGAGGCAUGCUGGAGGUAUCAGAAGUGCGAAUGCUGACAUAAGUAACGAUAAAGCGGGUGAAAAGCCCGCUCGCCGGAAGACCAAGGGUUCCUGUCCAACGUUAAUCGGGGCAGGGUGAGUCGACCCCUAAGGCGAGGCCGAAAGGCGUAGUCGAUGGGAAACAGGUUAAUAUUCCUGUACUUGGUGUUACUGCGAAGGGGGGACGGAGAAGGCUAUGUUGGCCGGGCGACGGUUGUCCCGGUUUAAGCGUGUAGGCUGGUUUUCCAGGCAAAUCCGGAAAAUCAAGGCUGAGGCGUGAUGACGAGGCACUACGGUGCUGAAGCAACAAAUGCCCUGCUUCCAGGAAAAGCCUCUAAGCAUCAGGUAACAUCAAAUCGUACCCCAAACCGACACAGGUGGUCAAGUAGAGAAUACCAAGGCGCUUGAGAGAACUCGGGUGAAGGAACUAGGCAAAAUGGUGCCGUAACUUCGGGAGAAGGCACGCUGAUAUGUAGGUGAGGUCCCUCGCGGAUGGAGCUGAAAUCAGUCGAAGAUACCAGCUGGCUGCAACUGUUUAUUAAAAACACAGCACUGUGCAAACACGAAAGUGGACGUAUACGGUGUGACGCCUGCCCGGUGCCGGAAGGUUAAUUGAUGGGGUUAGCGCAAGCGAAGCUCUUGAUCGAAGCCCCGGUAAACGGCGGCCGUAACUAUAACGGUCCUAAGGUAGCGAAAUUCCUUGUCGGGUAAGUUCCGACCUGCACGAAUGGCGUAAUGAUGGCCAGGCUGUCUCCACCCGAGACUCAGUGAAAUUGAACUCGCUGUGAAGAUGCAGUGUACCCGCGGCAAGACGGAAAGACCCCGUGAACCUUUACUAUAGCUUGACACUGAACAUUGAGCCUUGAUGUGUAGGAUAGGUGGGAGGCUUAGAAGUGUGGACGCCAGUCUGCAUGGAGCCGACCUUGAAAUACCACCCUUUAAUGUUUGAUGUUCUAACGUUGACCCGUAAUCCGGGUUGCGGACAGUGUCUGGUGGGUAGUUUGACUGGGGCGGUCUCCUCCUAAAGAGUAACGGAGGAGCACGAAGGUUGGCUAAUCCUGGUCGGACAUCAGGAGGUUAGUGCAAUGGCAUAAGCCAGCUUGACUGCGAGCGUGACGGCGCGAGCAGGUGCGAAAGCAGGUCAUAGUGAUCCGGUGGUUCUGAAUGGAAGGGCCAUCGCUCAACGGAUAAAAGGUACUCCGGGGAUAACAGGCUGAUACCGCCCAAGAGUUCAUAUCGACGGCGGUGUUUGGCACCUCGAUGUCGGCUCAUCACAUCCUGGGGCUGAAGUAGGUCCCAAGGGUAUGGCUGUUCGCCAUUUAAAGUGGUACGCGAGCUGGGUUUAGAACGUCGUGAGACAGUUCGGUCCCUAUCUGCCGUGGGCGCUGGAGAACUGAGGGGGGCUGCUCCUAGUACGAGAGGACCGGAGUGGACGCAUCACUGGUGUUCGGGUUGUCAUGCCAAUGGCACUGCCCGGUAGCUAAAUGCGGAAGAGAUAAGUGCUGAAAGCAUCUAAGCACGAAACUUGCCCCGAGAUGAGUUCUCCCUGACCCUUUAAGGGUCCUGAAGGAACGUUGAAGACGACGACGUUGAUAGGCCGGGUGUGUAAGCGCAGCGAUGCGUUGAGCUAACCGGUACUAAUGAACCGUGAGGCUUAACCUUACAACGCCGAAGCUGUU